UGGACAUGUCUCACCUAGGACCAAAGGGAGCCUGCCAAGCUCCCCUCCCAAUGCUAGUGACUAGCUCCUCCUUCCCUAGGCUGCCCAUAUUCUCUUUCAGUGCCCCAUAGGUCUCCGGAGGCUGGGCACUCCCCGCCCGCCCCCACCCCCAGCUUCUGCAGUCCUUGUCCCAACUCUUAAUGACAUGGGGCAGACACACCCACUAGGGUACCAGAGGUCCCUGGGCAGUGUGUGUGAUUGUGGAUGCUCAGCAGGUCACAGACCAAGCUUAUGGGCUUCCUCCCUUCCAGAUUCCUGUCCCCACACAACACUACUAGGCUCAGGCCAGCAGCUCACCCCACACAGAGUCUGUGGAACCCCCAAAGGAAUCCACUAAGGCCUGGGAAGUCUGUCCUAAGGGUGAAAGGGGCCCUCCCUUCCUCUUCUCAUCCUGGAGUCAGCAGGAGGCUUCUGUGGGAAAUGGUACUGUACAGCUGUGGCUCUGUCUCCUCUGCCUCCCUAAAGCCUUGAGCAGUAAAGGGCUGCCAGCCAGGAUCCUCUGGGUCACCGCCGCUUUCCAAGUGGUGGAUUCUUAUAGCCUGGCACUAGAGGUGACAGAUCGGAGGGGCAUGUCCUGCAGCACUCUAGAUGUCCCCUCUGCAGAACCUGAGAGUCAGCAAGGGGUGGGGCGUCCACCCCCCCACUCCCCAUCGUUUAGUUCUGUAGAUAAUCAGCACUGAUUAAAUGUCCAGCCAGCGAGCGUGGCUGCACUUGUACGCUCAGACCCAAGCAUGCCGCAAGGAAGACCUGCUUGGCAGGGUCGGGGCCAAGCGAGGAUGCCGAGGAAUACCCUCCUCCCAGUUUGGUAGGACCUUUGGGAUGGAGUCCAGGAAGGUCAGGGAAGAGUGGGGGGGGGGGGGCAGUAGGAGUCUGGUUGGGCUGAGGUUUACUGGGUUUACUUAACAUUUGGUAGUGAUAAGAGGAGAGGACAGCCCAGCUUCCCAAAUGACUCCACAUCUGGCGGUCUGGAAGAACCAGACAAGGCCGCCCAAUCGUCCCACCCACCUGGAUUGGAUUUUGGGCAGCCUGAGAGGUGGCUUGAACAAGAACUCAGGGAUGGGUCUGGAGAGAAUUGUGUAACGGGGCCACUUUACCUCCAGAAUCUUCCCUCCAUGUUCAGAGAAUAAAAUGCACUGGAACCUGC
rnacentral:lncRNA from 1 species